rnacentral:rRNA from 1 species
UCCGGGAUGGUGGGACGACUGUUGGGACCGCCUCUGCUAAAGAGGAGGAAGGAAUGGGCAACGGUAGGUCAGCAUGCCCCGAAUUAUCUGGGCUACACGCGGGCUACAAUGGGUGGGACAAUGGGUAUCGAACACCGAAAGGUGAAGGCAAUCUCCUAAACCCAUCCGUAGUUCGGAUUGUGGGCUGCAACUCGCCCACAUGAAGCUGGAAUCUGUAGUAAUCGUGUCUCAAAUAGCGCGGUGAAUAUGUCCCUGCUCCUU